UCAGAAGCAAAUUUCAAAAUUUAAAUGUCUUAAAUUCAAAUGGUGGAGCUAUUUUCCCACCAAAAUGUUUUUAUAUAUUACAGAACAACUUGAGCCUUCUUUUCAGCAGAAUGGUGGAAAACUUUUUUCCACCAAAGAAGGAAUUGUUCAGCCGUUCCUGUCAAAGGUUAAAUAAAAAUAAGGUUCAAACAUAACAAUAGAGAUAGUUCUUCAUGAUGUCAAGGGAACUAAUUCAGCUUCUAACCCCUACAUCAGUGCACUCGCUGAAGAACUAUUAUCAAAGCUUACAGGGACAAAAAAAAAAAGAAUAUAGAAGCAUAAAAUGGUACCACAAAGGGGAGGGCUAGAGAGGACGACAGCAAAACCACUGAGCUUGGAGAAGAGGACGGCGGGUCGGCCGCGACACUGGGCAGACGAAGGCGGCGACGCUAGAGACGGAGAGACUCGGUGGUGGCAGAACUCAUGAGAUGGAGAGACGACGGAGCUUGAGGCACGGUGAAACACGGACGGGGGAGCUCCAGACAUAGUUAAUCGCGGACGGCGGAGCAGGAGCUUGAGGCGUUUUGAAUGGUGGAUGCUGUGUGAGACUUGAGUGUGUGGGAGAAUACAAAAGCGAUGAGUGAUAUGUGCUGGAUGAUGAGAGUCAAUACAUGCUUGAUGCAUACAUUCAUAUUAAAAAUAACAAUUGAAAAAAACCCUACGGGCAAGGCUGAGGCGGUGGCUAAGUGCAGAUCCAGUCAAGGGGAAUGAAAGUGAGGUUAGUGUAUCUGCUGACUUGGUAGCAAAACACUUUUACUAAAGAAAUGCUUA